AAAGGAAUAGACGGGGGCCCGCACAAGCGGUGGAGCAUGUGGUUUAAUUCGAAGCUACGCGAAGAACCUUACCAGGUCUUGACAUCUUGCGCUAACCUAAGAGAUUAGGCGUUCCCUUCGGGGACGCAAUGACAGGUGGUGCAUGGUCGUCGUCAGCUCGUGUCGUGAGAUGUUGGGUUAAGUCCCGCAACGAGCGCAACCCUUGUUACUAGUUGCCAGCAUUCAGUUGGGCACUCUAGUGAGACUGCCGGUGACAAACCGGAGGAAGGUGGGGACGACGUCAGAUCAUCAUGCCCCUUAUGACCUGGGCUACACACGUGCUACAAUGGUCGGUACAACGAGUUGCGAACCCGCGAGGGCAAGCUAAUCUCUUAAAGCCGAUCUCAGUUCGGACUGUAGGCUGCAACUCGCCUACACGAAGUCGGAAUCGCUAGUAAUCGCGGAUCAGCAUGCCGCGGUGAAUACGUUCCCGGGCCUUGUACACACCGCCCGU
rnacentral:rRNA from 1 species